ensembl:lncRNA
CCAUAAUUCACAGGCUGCAUGGACUCCCCCGAUGCCUGACCCCGAAUCUAAUAGGGCUACAUGUUCGUUUACUUAAAACAGGAUAUAAAACAAUGUGCAGUUUCAUCUUCCUUAUUUAUCUCUCCCAGAUCCAGUGAGAAGCAAAUUUGCACAUAAUGACAGAUCGCAGGCAUCUAGCCCCAAAUGGAGUGUCUGGUUGUGAUCCAUCAUCAUGACAUUUCAGCUUUAGCAAACAUGGCUGCUCGCAGGGGGACACAAUCCAUCACUUUUCUCUAUUUCCCAGUCCAAAUGGCAGUUCCAAGGAUAUUAAUGAAGACCCAAGAGUCAAACACAAGGACCGCGUUAAAGAUAUUCAUAAAAAAAUCCAGGAAGGGGGUCUGUCUACUUUCACUGGAGGACUUUAAGAGGGACACUGUGUCCCCAGGGAGGAACUAG